UACAGAGACUGCAAGCGUUAUUCGGAUUCACUGGGCGUAAAGGGUGCGCAGGCGGCCAAGUGUGUGAGGCGUGAAAGCCCGGGGCUUAACCCCGGAAUUGCACCUCAAACUACAUGGCUAGAGCAUUGGAGAGGGUAGCGGAAUUCACGGUGUAGCAGUGAAAUGCGUAGAGAUGUGGAGGAAUACCGAUGGCGAAGGCAGCCCCCUGGGAUAACACUGACGCUCAUGCACGAAAGCGUGGGGAGCAAACAGG
rnacentral:rRNA from 1 species